rnacentral:rRNA from 1 species
AGCAGCCGCGGUAACUCCAGCUCCAGUAGCGUAUAUUAAAGUUGUUGCAGUUAAAAAGCUCGUAGUUGAAUUUCGGGGUUAGUAGGUUGGUCAUGCCUCUGGUAUGUACUGGUCUCACUGAUUCCUCCUUCUUGUAGAACCGUAAUGCCAUUAAGUUGGUGUUGCGGGGAAACAGGACUGUUACUUUGAAAAAAUUAGAGUGUUUAAAGCAAGCUAACGCUUGAAUACAUUAGCAUGGAAUAAUGAAAUAGGACGAACGAUCCUAUUUUGUUGGUUUCUAGGAUUGACGUAAUGAUUAAUAGGGAUAGUUGGGGGCAUUAGUAUUCAAUUGUCAGAGGUGAAAUUCUUGGAUUUAUUGAAGACUAACUACUGCGAAAGCAUUUGCCAAGGAUGUUUUCAUUAAUCAAGAACGAAAGUUAGGGGAUCGAAGACGAUCAGAUACCGUCGUAGUCUUAACCAUAAACUAUGCCGACUAGGGAUCGGAUGAUGUUAAUUUUAUAAUGACUCAUUCGGCGCCUUA